AGAGUCUGUGAGACUUCCAACAGAGGCUGAUAUUUAAAUUGGUCAGCAGACGGGGAAGGGCAUUCCAGGAUGAGAGCAACAUGAGCAAGGGUUCAGGGGUACGUAAGUGCAUGGUGGAUUCAAGAAAAUGAAUAGCUGAGCAGGACUACAGUGGAAGUAUCAGUGAAGUGAGAGUGAUGCCCAGGAGACUGUAACAAGACGUGAAAAUUGGACUUCCCUGGUGGCUCAGUGGUUAAGAAUCUGCCUGCACAUGCAGGGGACACAGGUUCGAUGCCUGGUCCGGGAAGAUCCCACAUGCCACGGAGCAACUAAGCCUGUGCGCCACAACACUACUGAGCCUGCGCUCUAGAGCCCGUGAGCCACAACUACUGAAGCCUGCACGCCUAGAGCCUGUGCUCCACAACAAGAGAAGCCACCGCAAUGAGAAGCCCACGCACCGCAACGAAGAGUAGCCCCCACUCUCUGCAACUAGAGAAAGACCACACGCAGCAACGAAGACCCAAUGCAGCCAAAAAUAAAUAAAUUUAUUUUUUAAAAAAACGUGAAAAUUUUCCAUUUCUAUUUAAAAUAUCAUUCACUCUGGCUGUAUCCUCAUUCAGAAUAAGGAAAAUUAACUAAAUAUUUUGUUAGAAAUUCAGUUGCAUUUUAUCUGUUUGAAUACAUCCAUUAUAGCUAUAUUAUAUUUUU